ACUCAAAGGAAUAGACGGGGGCCCGCACAAGCGGUGGAGCAUGUGGUUUAAUUCGACGCAACGCGAAGAACCUUACCUGGGUUUGACAUGUACACGACCGGCGGUGAAAAUCGCCUUCUCUUCGGAGCGUGUGCACAGGUGCUGCAUGGCUGUCGUCAGCUCGUGUCGUGAGAUGUUGGGUUAAGUCCCGCAACGAGCGCAACCCUCGCCCUCUGUUGCUACCAGGUUAUGCUGGGCACUCUGAGGGGACUGCCCCGGUGAACGGGGAGGAAGGUGGGGAUGACGUCAAGUCCUCAUGGCCUUUAUGUCCAGGGCUACACACGUGCUACAAUGGCGAGGACAAUGGGAUGCUCCCUUGCAAAAGGUUGCCAAUCCCAAAAACUUCGUCCCAGUUCGGAUGGUUGGCUGCAACUCGCCGGCCUGAAGCUGGAAUCGCUAGUAAUCGGAGAUCAGCACGCUCCGGUGAAUACGUUCCCGGGCCUUGUACACACCGCCCGU
rnacentral:rRNA from 1 species